CCUUAGUCAGGAUACCUCGGGAACUGAGGAUAACACUUGAUAAGAAAUAUUUUCUGGAAUGAGAUUUUUCCCAAACUCGUGCUUAAGGAGGGGGCUGCGGCAGAUUAGGUAGUUGUUAGUGUAAUGGACUAACAAGCCAAUGAUCUGUAAGGGUUCUUAGCGGAAGGGCCCUGAGAAGGAAUCUGAGACACUAUUCCUAGCUCUACGGGGUGCAGCAGUCGAGGAAAUUCUACAAUGCUCGCAAGAGUGAUAGAAUAAGUCAGAGUGUUUCUCCUAGAGAAACUUUUGCUUGUUGUAAAAAGACAGGCGAAUAAGGACUGGGCAAGACCGGUGCCAGCCGCCGCGGUAAUACCGGCGGUCCAAGUCGUAUCCACAAUUAUUGGGUCUAAAACAUUCGUAGCUUGUUUUGCAAGUCUCUUGUGAAAUCUGACAUCUUAAGUGUCAGGCGCGCAAGAGAUACUGCAUUGCUAGAGACCGGAAGACGUAAGGAGUACGAUCAAGGUAGCGGUAAAAUGUGUUAAUCUUGAUCGGACUAACAAUGGCGAAGGCACCUUACGAGUACGGAUCUGACAGUGAGGGAUGAAGGCUAGGGGCGCAAAAGGGAUUAGAUACCCCUGUAGUCCUAGCAGUAAACACUGCUCACUAAACAUCGGUGCCUCCUCGAGAGGCGUCGGUGCUGUAGAGAAGUCGAAGAGUGAGCUACCUGGGAAGUAUAGUCGCAAGACCGAAACUUAAAGGAAUUGGCGGGGGAGCAC
rnacentral:rRNA from 1 species